GGCGAACGCUGGCGGCAGGCCUAACACAUGCAAGUCGAACGAACCCUUCGGGGUUAGUGGCGGACGGGUGAGUAACACGUGGGAACGUGCCUUUAGGUUCGGAAUAACUCAGGGAAACUUGUGCUAAUACCGAAUGUGCCCUUCGGGGGAAAGAUUUAUCGCCUUUAGAGCGGCCCGCGUCUGAUUAGCUAGUUGGUGAGGUAAUGGCUCACCAAGGCUAGGAUCAGUAGCUGGUCUGAGAGGAUGACCAGCCACAUUGGGACUGAGACACGGCCCAAACUCCUGCGGGAGGCAGCAGUGAGGAAUCUUGCGCAAUGGGCGAAAGCCGGACGCAGCCAUGCCGCGUGAAUGAUGAAGGUCUUAGGAUUGUAAAAUCCUUUCACCGGUGAAGAUAAUGACUGUAGCCGGAGAAGAAGCCCCGGCUAACUUCGUGCCAGCAGCCGCCGUAAAAC
rnacentral:rRNA from 1 species